rnacentral:rRNA from 1 species
CAUGCAAGUCGAACGAGGAUAUACUCUUCGGAGUAUAAACCGAGUGGCGAAAGGGUGAGUAAUGCAUAGAUGACAUGCCUUUAGGAUAAGAAUAUCUUUGUGAAAACGGAGUUAAUGCUUAAUAAUUACGAAGCAAAAUCAAUUAGUUUCGUCAAAGGGAGGGCAGCAAUGCCUUUCGCCUAAAGAGUGGUUUAUGUCCUAUCAGCUUGUUGGUGGGGUAAUGGCCUACCAAGGCAAAGACGGGUAGCCGGCCUUAGAGGGUGGUCGGCCACACUGGGACUGAGACACUGCCCAGACUCCUACGGGAGGCUGCAGUCGAGAAUCAUUCGCAAUGCCCGAAAGGGUGACGAUGCGACGCCGCGUGAGCGAAGAAGGCCUUAGGGUUGUAAAGCUCUGUCGAGGGUUAUGAAAUAUAGAUGGGUUAAUACCCCAUUUAUUUGACAAAAGCCCAAAAGAAGCCACGGCUAACUCUGUGCCAGCAGCCGCGGUAAUACAGAGGUGGCGAGCGUUGUUCGGUAUUAUUGGGCGUAAAGAGCACGUAGGUGGGGUUUGUAAGUCAGGUGUGAAAGCCUUCUGUUCAAAGGAAGAACGGCAUCUGAAACUGCAGAUCUUGAGUGUAGGAGGGGAGAGUGGAACUUCUGGUGGAGUGGUGAAAUGCGUAGAUAUCAGAAGGAACGUCGGCGGCGAAAGCGACUCUCUGGCCUAUUACUGACACUGAGGUGCGAAAGUUAGGGGAGCAAACGGGAUUAGAUACCCCGGUAGUCCUAACCGUAAACGAUGGGCACUAAGUAGAGGGAAUUACCAAUGUUCUCUCUGCCGUAGCUAACGCAUUAAGUGCCCCGCCUGGGGAGUACGGCCGCAAGGCUAAAACUCAAAAGAAUUGACGGGGGCUCGCACAAGCGGUGGAGCAUGUGGCUUAAUUCGAUGCAACGCGAAAAACCUUACCGGGGUUUGACAUGGUAGAAGUAGGAGCCCGAAAGGGUAACCAACGGUAUCCAGUCCGUAACUAUCACAGGUGUUGCAUGGCUGUCGUCAGCUCGUGUCGUGAGACGUUGGGUUAAGUCCCCUAACGAGCGAAACCCUUGUUUUUAGUUACCAUCGGGUUAUGCCGGGUACUCUAGAAAGACUGCCGUCGUCAAGACGGAGGAAGGUGGGGAUGACGUCAAGUCAUCAUGGCCCUUAUACCCCGGGCUGCACACGUGCUACAAUGGUCGGUACAAAAGGAAGCAAGACCGAGAGGUGGAGCGAAUCCUAAAAAGCCGAUCUCAGUUCGGAUUGGAGGCUGAAAUUCGCCUCCAUGAAGUUGGAAUCGCUAGUAAUCGCGGAUCAUCAGCGCCGCGGUGAAUAUGUUCCCGAGCCUUGUACACACCGCCCGUCAAGCCACCCAAGUAAGAUGCACCUGAAAACAUUUAUCUAACCACUUGUGGAGGAAAAUGUUGAAGGAGUGUUUUGUGAGGAGGACUAAGUCGUAACAAGGUAGUCGUAGGAGAACCUGCGGCUGGAUCACCUCCUUUCU